AUCACGAUGACGAUUUGAAGCAAGAUUUCCUGAGCGUGAAGCGGGCGUUUGGAGUUUCUUUCGAGGAACAAGCCAAACGUCAUUGAGGAACGUUCCUCUCAGCCUUAUGGUUGAGCAGGAGGGAUCUCUUGCAUUCAGAGUGAU
rnacentral:snoRNA from 1 species